rnacentral:rRNA from 1 species
GAUGAACGCUGGCGGCGUGCCUAAUACAUGCAAGUCGAGCGAACAGACGAGGAGCUUGCUCCUCUGACGUUAGCGGCGGACGGGUGAGUAACACGUGGAUAACCUACCUAUAAGACUGGGAUAACUUCGGGAAACCGGAGCUAAUACCGGAUAAUAUAUUGAACCGCAUGGUUCAAUAGUGAAAGACGGUUUUGCUGUCACUUAUAGAUGGAUCCGCGCCGCAUUAGCUAGUUGGUAAGGUAACGGCUUACCAAGGCAACGAUGCGUAGCCGACCUGAGAGGGUGCUCGGCCACACUGGAACUGAGACACGGUCCAGACUCCUACGGGAGGCAGCAGUAGGGAAUCUUCCGCAAUGGGCGAAAGCCUGACGGAGCAACGCCGCGUGAGUGAUGAAGGCCUUCGGAUCGUAAAACUCUGUUAUUAGGGAAGAACAAAUGUGUAAGUAACUAUGCACGUCUUGACGGUACCUAAUCAGAAAGCCACGGCUAACUACG